rnacentral:rRNA from 1 species
CAGUCGCCGCGGGAAUACGAAGGGGGCUAGCGUUGUUCGGAAUCACUGGGCGUAAAGCGCACGUAGGCGGACUUUUAAGUCAGGGGUGAAAUCCCAAGGCUCAACCUUGGAACUGCCUUUGAUACUGGAAGUCUUGAGUUCGGGAGAGGUGAGUGGAACUGCGAGUGUAGAGGUGAAAUUCGUAGAUAUUCGCAAGAACACCAGUGGCGGAGGCGGCUCACUGGCCCGAUACUGACGCUGAGGUGCGAAAGCGUGGGGAGCAAACAGGAUUAGAUACCCCCGUAGUCCCUGUCUCUUAUAC